rnacentral:rRNA from 1 species
UCCGAACCGGGCAAACGUUAUUCGGAAUCACUGGGCUUAAAGGGUGCGUAGGCGGCGCUUCAAGUCGGGUGUGAAAUCCCUCGGCUCAACCGAGGAAUUGCGCCCGAUACUGUAGUGCUCGAGGAGGAUAGAGGUGAGCGGAACUAGCAGUGGAGCGGUGAAAUGCGUUGAUAUUGCUGGGAACACCCGUGGCGAAAGCGGCUCACUGGGUCCUUUCUGACGCUGAGGCACGAAAGCUAGGGUAGAGAACGGG